AACGUAGGAGGCGAGCGUUGUCCGGAUUUAUUGGGCGUAAAGAGCGUGUAGGCGGCCAGGUAGGUCUGCUGUGAAAACUCGAGGCUCAACCUCGAGACGUCGGCGGAAACCAUCUGGCUAGAGUCCGGAAGAGGAGAGUGGAAUUCCUGGAUGUAGCGGUGAAAUGCGCAGAUAUCAGGAAGAACACCCGUGGCGAAGGCGGCUCUCUGGGACGGUACUGACGCUGAGACGCGAAAGCGUGGGGAGCAAACAGG
rnacentral:rRNA from 1 species